AGCGAACGCUGGCGGCAGGCUUAACACAUGCAAGUCGAGCGGAUGUAGCAAUACAUCAGCGGCAGACGGGUGAGUAACACGUGGGAACGUACCUUUUGGUUCGGAACAACACAGGGAAACUUGUGCUAAUACCGGAUAAGCCCUUACGGGGAAAGAUUUAUCGCCGAAAGAUCGGCCCGCGUCUGAUUAGCUAGUUGGUGAGGUAAUGGCUCACCAAGGCGACGAUCAGUAGCUGGUCUGAGAGGAUGAUCAGCCACAUUGGGACUGAGACACGGCCCAAACUCCUACGGGAGGCAGCAGUGGGGAAUAUUGGACAAUGGGCGCAAGCCUGAUCCAGCCAUGCCGCGUGAGUGAUGAAGGCCCUAGGGUUGUAAAGCUCYUUUGUACGGGAAGAUAAUGACGGU
rnacentral:rRNA from 1 species